rnacentral:rRNA from 1 species
AGUCAAUAGAUACCCAGGUAGUCCACGCCCUAAACGAUGAUCACUCGAUGUGUGCGAUACACUGUACGCGUCUGAGCGAAAGCAUUAAGUGAUCCACUUGGGGAGUACGACCGCAAGGUUGAAACUCAAAGGAAUUGACGGGGGCCCGCACAAGCGGAGGAGCAUGUGGUUUAAUUCGAUGAUACGCGAGGAACCUUACCAGGGCUUGAAAGUUAGUGAAGGAUGUGGAAACAUGUCCGUCAGCAAUGACACGAAACUAGGUGCUGCAUGGCUGUCGUCAGCUCGUGCCGUGAGGUGUUGGGUUUAAGUCCCGCAACGAGCGCAACCCCUAUCAUUAGUUGCCAACAGGUCAAGCUGGGGACUCUAAUGAGACUGCCCGCGCAAGCGGUGAGGAAGGUGGGGAUGACGUCAAGUCAUCACGGCCCUUACGUCCUGGGCUACACACGUGCUACAAUGGCCGGUACAGAGGGCAGCCACAUGGUAACAUGGAGCUAAUCCUUAAAGCCGGUCUCA